GAUGGUUAGGGUCAUAACUGAAGUUUAGAAAGAGGCGAAGAUAAGCAUCACUCAGACUCUCGCAAGAAACUGAAAAGAAUUGAAGAAAACACCAGGACGAUGAACAAAGGACUUCGACGUAUUUCUUUGUGUUUGGUUGUACUUUCUUGUUUUUUCUUGUUUCGUCAGAGUCAAGCGCAGUUUACGAGCUGCCUCGGAAACCACGGAAAGAGAGCUGAAGUGCCCUUAAAACCAAACAGGUUGCGGGAUAUCUGGGACCAAAAGUGUCAUAAUAACGAUCAAAUGGAUACAACACAGCGAUAUAGUAAAGAAAGAAGCACAAAGAAUACCUAGCAGAUUCCAGGAGGAUACUGACAGAGAUAUUCCUGAGGAAGAAUGAAAUCAAGAAGAACAAAUAAACGGAUUUCUAUUUUCAUGGCGAUGAAUGAAAGAGGAACCAUGAAAAAUACUCGCAUAUUUAUGCAAUGUAAUGUUAAAGUUUCUUAACCUAUUGUUUAAAACAGGUCUUUGAAAAUAUAAUAAAGAAGAUAUUCAUCGUUU